GUAAGGAAUAUUGGGCAAUGGACGCAAGUCUGACCCAGCCAUGCCGCGUGAAGGAUGACGGCCCUAUGGGUUGUAAACUUCUUUUGUACGGGAAAAAACCUUCGAACGUGUUCGAAGCUGAUUGUACCGUAAGAAUAAGCAUCGGCUAACUCCGUGCCAGCAGCCGCGGUAAUACGGAGGAUGCAAGCGUUAUCCGGAUUCAUUGGGUUUAAAGGGUGCGUAGGCGGAUUAAUAAGUCAGUGGUGAAAUCCUACAGCUUAACUGUAGAACUGCCAUUGAUACUGUUAGUCUUGAGUACAUUUGAAGUGGGCGGAAUGUGUCAUGUAGCGGUGAAAUGCUUAGAUAUGACACAGAACUCCGAUAGCGAAGGCAGCUCACUAAACUGUAACUGACGCUGAGGCACGAAAGCGUGGGGAUCAAACAGGAUUAGAAACCCUAGUAGUCC
rnacentral:rRNA from 1 species